rnacentral:lncRNA from 1 species
GAACGAAGCUGAGUUGGAACAGCUGCUGGAAUGACUAGGAGCUGGUGGCUGGCAGGAGCACAUGCCUUGCCCCAGACUUGAUGCUACAAAUGGGUGCCUGAGGACUACAUUUCCCAGCCUGCCUUGCUUUGUGGUUAAGAGAGAGAGAAGAACGGCUGGAGCCAUCCUGAGCCAGCAUGGUCCCAUCAUCGCUGAUGGGAGUUCCAGGCAACUGCUGCUUAUGGAGCUGCAGCUUCAGGCCGCCUUAAGCCACAACGAUUUCCCAGAGACUGAGGUCUCCCACUCAGUGACCAACCACCUUCCCUACUCCAGCAGCAUUUUUAAAGGCAACCCUGGACCAGCAGGGAGAAGACAAGGGACUUUCCCUUCUACCCAGCAAGCCCACCGGGUGUGAGAUGUGCUGAGAUGGAGAUUUACUAUGGAGUCAUCUACUUGUGGAAGAUAACCUGCCCUGCUCACAUCCCAGGAACUGAGUGUUGAAUUAUAUGUCGCAGUGACACCCUGACCCUUCCGUGAGAGAAGGAGCAUGUGCCUUUACUCCCUGAAACAACAGAGCCAGGGAAAAAUGGCCAGGCUACUCAUGCCCCAGCAUCUAACACAAUGGGAUCUCAGUUUUUCAGGCUUUCGGGCUUCCCUACAACUGACAGCUGCAUGAGAAAGCCACUUAAUCCCUCUUUGCCUGUCCUUGGGAUCCACUUCUGAUCCCUGCGGCAAGCUAAGUCCCAGCUCUGCAGAGACCUAACCCCCAAAGAGCUUGGUUUCCUUUCCCUCCCAGCUCCAGAUCAGCCCCUCCUACCCCUCCAGAUCAGCCCCUCCUACAGAGAAACUUGUGAAGGGAGCAAGGUACAUAGUUGGGGUCCAGAUCAGAUUAUCCUCCCAGUGUGGGGGUGUUCCCAUUUGGGUUUCUGGAUUGGAUCCAUUGUAGAAACAAGCCA